GAAUUCGCCCUUAGAGUUUGAUCCUGGCUCAGGACGAACGCUGGCGGCGCGCCUAACACAUGCAAGUCGAACGGAGCUACUUUGAUAGAUCUCUUCGGAGUGACAUUGAUUUAGCUUAGUGGCGAACGGGUGAGUAACACGUGAGGAACCUGCCUUUCAGAGGGGGACAACAGUUGGAAACGACUGCUAAUACCGCAUAAGACCACGAUACGGCAUCGUAUUGAGGUCAAAGGAGCAAUCCGCUGAAAGAUGGCCUCGCGUCCGAUUAGCUAGAUGGUGAGGUAACGGCCCACCAUGGCGACGAUCGGUAGCCGGACUGAGAGGUUGAUCGGCCACAUUGGGACUGAGACACGGCCCAGACUCCUACGGGAGGCAGCAGUGGGGAAUAUUGCACAAUGGAGGAAACUCUGAUGCAGCGACGCCGCGUGAGGGAAGAAGGUCUUCGGAUUGUAAACCUCUGUUGUCAGGGACGAUAAUGACGGUACCUGACGAGGAAGCCACGGCUAACUACGUGCCAGCAGCCGCGGUAAAACGUAGGUGGCAAGCGUUGUCCGGAAUUACUGGGUGUAAAGGGAGCGCAGGCGGAUUUGCAAGUUGGAAGUGAAACCCAUGGGCUCAACCCAUGGACUGCUUUCAAUACUGCAGAUCUUGAGUGGUGUAGAGGUAGGCGGAAUUCCCGGUGUAGCGGUGGAAUGCGUAGAUAUCGGGAGGAACACCAGUGGCGAAGGCGGCCUACUGGGCACUAACUGACGCUGAGGCUCGAAAGCAUGGGUAGCAAACAGGAUUAGAUACCCUGGUAGUCCAUGCCGUAAACGAUGAU
rnacentral:rRNA from 1 species